UACGUAGGGUGCAAGCGUUAAUCGGAAUUACUGGGCGUAAAGCGCGCGUAGGCGGCUUUGCAAGUCGGGUGUGAAAUCCCCAGGCUCAACCUGGGAACUGCAUUCGAGACUGCAUUGCUAGAGUAUGGGAGAGGGAAGUGGAAUUUCAGGUGUAGCGGUGAAAUGCGUAGAUAUCUGAAGGAACAUCAGUGGCGAAAGCGACUCCUGGACCAAUACUGACGCUCAUGUGCGAAAGCCGUGGGGAGCAAACAGG
rnacentral:rRNA from 1 species